GCGCUUAGAAGUGAGAAUGCCGGUGUGAGUAGCGAAAGACGGGUGAGAAUCCCGUCCACCGAUUGACUAAGGUUUCCAGAGGAAGGCUCGUCCGCUCUGGGUUAGUCGGGUCCUAAGCUGAGGCCGACAGGCGUAGGCGAUGGAUAACAGGUUGAUAUUCCUGUACCACCUAUAAUCGUUUUAAUCGAUGGGGGGACGCAGUAGAAUAGGCGAAGCGUGCGAUUGGAUUGCACGUCUAAGCAGUAAGGCUGAGUAUUAGGCAAAUCCGGUACUCGUUAAGGCUGAGCUGUGAUGGGGAGAAGACAUUGUGUCUUCGAGUCGUUGAUUUCACACUGCCGAGAAAAGCCUCUAGAUAGAAAAUAGGUGCCCGUACCGCAAACCGACACAGGUAGUCAAGAUGAGAAUUCUAAGGUGAGCGAGCGAACUCUCGUUAAGGAACUCGGCAAAAUGACCCCGUAACUUCGGGAGAAGGGGUGCUCUUUAGGGUUAACGCCCAGAAGAGCCGCAGUGAAUAGGCCCAAGCGACUGUUUAUCAAAAACACAGGUCUCUGCUAAACCGUAAGGUGAUGUAUAGGGGCUGACGCCUGCCCGGUGCUGGAAGGUUAAGAGGAG
rnacentral:rRNA from 1 species